rnacentral:lncRNA from 1 species
CCAAGAGAAAACCUUGGCUCUCCUGUUUCCUUGACUGUGGGGGUAUGACCAUGGCCAUGGCCACAGUCAGGCUGCAAAAGCAUUGUUCUCCUGGUAGAGUUGCCAGAUUUAGCAAAUAAAAACUCAGGACCCCUAGUUAAAUGGAACUUCAGACAAUCAACAAGUAAUUUUUUAGUACAAGUAUGUAUAGACAAUCCUUAUUUUGAAGAAUACAUUAAAGAAUACUUAUGGAAUAUUGCCUGGGAUCUAUUAUACAUACUGGACAAAUAGUUACACACAUGUGCACUUAGAUACACAGAGAUACUGAUACAAAUUUGGCCUGGGACAUACUUAUUCAGAGUAUUCACUGUUUACCUGACAGUCACUGUUUACCUGUCAUUCAGGUUCAACUGGCUUGCUGCAUCCAGCUCCUGACCAAGGCAGCUCAUUGGUGAGCUCUACUUUCUUCAGCCUCAAUUGGUCGGGAAAUCUGGAAAACAACUGUGUUUGAAGCCAGCUAGGCUCAGAGUAAAUCACCAAAGCUCUGUAGUGUGAAAGGCUGCCCAGGUCAGUGCAGGAAGGCAUGAACGUAAUCCCUCCCUCAGAGAGAUGCACUCCGUGGGCAAGAGGGGCCUGGACCACUACAAGUGGCUGUCUGGCUAGGCACCCCUACACAGGCUGGUCCCCCCCUCCUUCGGGGGGAUCCCUCAGGCUACAGUGAAAAUACAUGUUACUCUCCCCAUACUUUUGACCCACCUGGAGAUCUGGCCUACUGCCCAUGGGUUGAUUCUCUGCAGGCUGCACUGGCAUCCAUAGCCCAUUGCUGUCUCUUCCACAAGGACUGCAAGCAGGAUGCUUGGCAUCCCAGAGCACAGGUAUGCUCACCUGCACUGCCCUCUGAAGGCUCAACCUUCCCACAGGUCCUGGUGGAGGCCGACUGUGGUGUGCAGAGCUCUGCUGGGGUUGCACCUGGUCUUCUCCCCCGAACCCUCUGUAAGAGGGAGGCCAGCCCAGAAACCACAGUCCUCCUUACUGUGGACGUCCUGUCUGAGACUGUCCAUCAUCAGGAAGGAAAGGCUGUUCCUCCAUGCUCUCAUGUUGAGUAACUGGGGGGUCUGCAAAUUAAACUCACAAAAGACAGAUUAACAGGAGAGAAAGGCACACAAUUUUCAUUACUAUUUACACACAUGUGGGUUCACAGAAAAAAAGGAAACUCAGAGAAGUGGUUAGACACAAGGAAUUUUAUAUCUUUUUAACAAAGGAAAGGGUUUGAGCUUCAGAAGACCAUAAGUUGUGGGGAAGUGACUAGGAGAGGUCUGGAGGGAACCAGUGGAAGUUAUGGCUAUUUUAGGAAGGCUGUAGAUGUAAACUCAUCUUGGUUCUGGCUCCCCAUCACCAAUGACAAGAGUCACUCUUCUCUCCCUGGCACAGGGCAGGUACCUCCUUCAAAGGGAAAUUGAUGCCCUGUGUUUAGGCAGAUAUGAGGAGGGCAGAGAACUCCUCCUGCAUCUGUUCAUUCUUGGUCACCUUCAGCUCCCCUUAAUCCUUGUGCCAAAGUGGCAUAUUUGGGGGUGGCAUAUUCUGAUUCCCUCACAUAGUCUGCACUAGGUGGGGCAGUGGUGGAUAUUCCUAUUGGCCAGGAAGCCAAGCAGAGGCCCCAAGUACUGCCACCACCAAAUACUUGUGCACAGACUGUGGACCUCCUACAACUAAGCCGUCUGACAGGUCUGACCCACACAACUAAACCUGGAGGAAGUCCUGCUCUCCCUUCUCCCUGCCAAGAAAAUCUCCACCUUCACUGCCUCUUUCCCCUCUCCUUCCUCCCACCCCACAAGGAGCCCCCUCUCAGGCAACUGGGUCCUUCACCCACAUUUCAAAACCCUCACGACUGGGUCCAACUCCAAGUUUGGGGGACAGGGGGAAAUUCUCCUUGAGUCAUUUUUCCUGUAGUUGAUCAAACCAAUCAGUAACUGCGAAGGUAAAUAAUUGUUCUCUCACCCCAAGCCCUGUGAGGGUGAUUUAUUUAACGUUACUUCUGAACCCUGAUGUUAACCACCCCCCACCCAGGAGCCUCAUUACAGUGAUUUGGACAAAUUCACAUGUGCUUUUACCCUGAGAGGGUACUGGAGUCAGCCGGGUUAGUACUAUAACGAUGAGCGAUCUCUCCUCAAACAUUAUGGUGAGUAGAUUUGUCUUUCCCCCCUCACUGGAGGCUGGAUUGGGCUCUAGAAGCCUGUUCUCCAGACAGAAGCAGGUUUGGGUGGUUUUCGUUGCCACUGUAAUUGCUAGCAGGAGAAGAGGACAUCUCCUCCCAGAGGUGUUGACUGGGAAGGUUUGGGGGCAAUCUGGUAUCUGGAUUAUUGACCAACCUCUCCCAGCACUCCAAAUCGGGUGAUUCAUAGAUGGCAAUUGAAAAAGAUUUGGAUUAAAUGAUCUUCCUCAUUUUCUAUUACUUGUCUGGUAGGUUAAAUAAAGCUGUGACUUAAAAUUAUAGUUCCUGGGUUUCCCUGGUAGCUUCACGGUUAAGGAUAUGGCAUUGUCACUGCUGUGGCUGGGGUCACAGCUGUGGCACAGGAUCAAUCCCUGGCCUGGGAAUUUCUGCCUGCCACAGGCAUGGCCAAAAUAACCCACUGUACUUCCUUCUUGAUGGAUUUAGACAAUUCAUAUUUGAGUUUAGUCCAGGAGACAUAUUGUUAUCUGUUUACCAGCAAUCUCUUCUUCAGGAAUCUCUGUGGCCAACAGCACAACCAUCAAUGACACCAAAACUCACUCAUUGGGGAGUUCACUCCUUAGUCGGCAGGGGCUUCUCAGGAAUCCCUGCAGGUCCAGGGUCACAGGGGUGCUGGGUGUGAAUGCCUUGGUCCAUAUUCACAACUGUCCUGGAGGACAGAUCCUAGAACUUGAGUGAAACAGAACUUAGCAAAUAUACCUUUGAAAUAUACUCACACCUUUCCUGUUUAGCCAAGGAAUUAAUUAGCAAAGAGCAGAGGGAAAAUGCCGGCUUCAUCCACUUUACUCCCUCUGCCCUCCAGGGGGCAGCAGAGGCGGGAAGAACACUCCUUAACGUGGGUGGCUCCUCACGGUCUGUCCAGCUGUACUGACAGACUCACUGAAUGAAAGGGAGGACGGGAGGGCUCUGGUUGCUUGAACGCCCAGGAUUCUGCAGCCAUGGCUGCAUUUCCCACUUGUGAUUGAGGUAUCUCCAGAGCCUGGAGAAAACCAGGGGCUGGGCAAAGAAAGGGACAGGGCUUCUGAAACACCCUGUGAACUCCUAGCCGACAGAACGACCCAAACUGCUGAGACUGAAACCCACAUCUACACUUCCAGGUAGUGCCCUUGGGCAGGUUACCUCUUUGCUUCUUUAUCUACCGAAGGGGAAUAGUAAUACUACCCUCCUCAUGUGAUUGAUGAGAGAUGAAAUGAACUAAUAAAUGUUAAUCACAUAAAAGGGCUAGCUAGACAAAGUAGAUCCUUUAUAAGAGUCGCACAUAACUCCAAACCUUUUUUGGAAAAUGCCAGAUUCUGGGUAGCACUGAUUUAAAAAAAGCAAAAACAAAAACAAAAAACAUGCAGGAGAGGGGCCCAAAUGCAACAGAUCGCCAUAUAUUAUUUAUUUAUUUAUCUUGGCCACACCUGUAGCAUGUGGAUGUUUCUGGGCCAGGAAUUGAACUUGCACCACAGCAGCGACUGGGAGUCACUGCAGUGACAAUACUGGGUCCUUAACCCACUGCACCACAAGGGAAUUCCAGCACUGAUUUUUCAUAAUUUGCAUUUGGAUUGGGCCGAAAUAGAUCUUUUCAAUAUUUAAUAACAUCUAACAGGUGUUUUAAACUGAUAUUUGAAUAAGUCCAUUGGACUAAUAAGAUUUUGUCUACAGGUAUAAACACAAAUAUAUAGAACAUGUAUUUGUAUCUAUUUCUGACAGAUACGUACAGGGUACUUUGGCAAAUACAAUAUUCCAUUUAAUAGGGGAGUUAGGUAUGCAUUGUGCCCAAUUGCCGGUUUUCAAAACUCUCCAUAUAAUAAAAUAUCUUUAAUACUGAGCCACAUUAGACAUAAUGUUUCGUGAAGGGUCAGGGUCUGCAGGGAACCACAGCUAUUACUGUACUGGAGAUAUUUGGCAGGCUGGGUCAUAGAGCUCUCUUGGAGACAGGAAACUGCAUAGCUCAGUGUUUGCUGCAGGCAUUUUCAUUCAUUCAUCAGCUUUGUUUUCCAUACACUGUUGUCUGCUCAGGUAGCCCCCAGUGACAUCUGCCUGCCUGGUUGCUAGUGGCCUGAGCUGGUUUUAGAGCAGGAACAAUCCUUAGAAACAUACUAAAGUCAGGACAGCAGCCUGAGAUAACAGGUGCAAGCAGUAGGUGCUCCAUAAAGGCUAGUUCUCCUGCCUCCCUUUCCAAUAUCUCCCUGCAUUUCUCAUUCAACUCCAGUGAGUGAGAUUUGCUCAACACUGUGGGUGAACUGAAACCACUUUCUAUUUUUUCAAAAGGGCUGAGGGAGAUGGAGUGCUAAGAUUUAUCAAUGGCUUUCUUAAUUAUCUGUAUACUAUGAGCCAUUUCCUGGCAACUCAUUUGCUCUUUUUCCUUCUCCCUAUCUUUCCCCAGAGUCCUGCUACACUUUAUCAUGUUUUUGUGCACAACAGAAAAAGGUACCUCCUGAAAUAAAAAGGCACCCUCUUUGACCUGGCAAAUUAGAAAAGAACACUCAUUCUGGAUCUGUGCCUUACUGGCUGAGCCCCUUGGUGCAAAACACAAAAGACACAACCACCCCCAGCAGCCAAUGUCACCCAGUGUCGUCCCCCCACCCCCUGUGUGGAGAGCCAGUGGUCUUCUGGUGGAAACAGAGCCCACUUGUAUCACCAAAGCAGCCUUGGGGCUAUAAAGAGCUGAGUCCCAAGUCAAACUCACCUGCUCUCCCUCUGCAGAAGCCAUCACACAUUUGGUUCCACCAAAUCAGAGAUUCCAUCUUUCCCCAAAAGGACCUUCCACAGACCUUUGGAAUCUUUCACUGAAAUCACAGUGUAAGUGUGAGGUCACAGCUAAAACCACCAGGCAGGGACUCAGGUCUUCCGGAGGGAUAAUUUUUCUCAACAGCUACUAAGUUUACUUUUGGUUAAAACCAGUGGCUUUGUCUAUGGGCUAUAUGAAACGCUUGACACAGCCUAACAAUCCCAGCAAACUCUCAGAAUCCAAUUACUAAGUAAACUCCAUUGUAAUUCAAGGAAAAACCACUAUCCUCGCUAUUUAUCCUUCACACUGAAAUAGUAAAUGAUACUGUGGGAACAAUGAAGCCCACCACUGAAGAGACCAUCAGCAAAAGGCAAAAUUGCUUCUUUACGACUCUUCUGCCCUCUAAGAUUGGAAUUUGGGGAGGAUGCAUUCAGAAAUGAUUUCCCCCCUCCCCAGUAAUGACAACAUUCAGUACCCCAUAAGAAAUGAAAUUGAAGCAUUGAUCUUAUUCGUCAAAUACAGGAUAGCUUCAGUAUUAAAAUUAACAUAUAAAUUUAGCAUCCAUCUUAUUUUCAACUCACUUCUGCUGAGUAAAUGCACAUAUAAAGAAUGAAUCACUGAAACAGUAUGCAGUGAAAUCAAGUUCAUUUUUCAAAUACACCAGUUCAAAUGCAGUCAGCGCCUGUUUUCUGGGCACCCAACAAAUGUUCCUGAGAUGCCUCCUCCCAUCGCCUCCUGCCGAUCCAGCCACAGGGCACCCUGAGGUCCUUUGGAAGACAAGUCCCUGAAGAGCAAAGCCCAUGAUAUAUAAGUCCUACACUGCACAUCCCUUCCUCUGGUCCUAGUCUUUUAAUAAUUUUUAAUGUUCUUAGGCUCUAAGAAGCCGGCCAAUUAACUGUAAGAGCCUAGUCCAGGGGUCCAGAAUCAGUGCCCCUUUCCCCUGGUACCUGUCACCUUCCCAGGUUGCUCUACAUUAAUUUCAACCACAGCCAUGUGCCUGGCUAAAAAUGCCUUGCUUCUCAAGACAUUUGUGAAACUCCUUUUGUCUUUUCCAUCAUCAAGAGUGUUGGUAUUUCACAGUGAGCUCUCACUCACACGUGUUAGAAUAGCUAUUACCGGAAUAAUUACAAGAUUACCAGAGAUUACAAUAGCUGGUGAGGAGUAGAGAAAGGGGAGCCCAUGUGCAUUGUUUGUGGGAAUGUAAACUGGUGCAGCUACUAUGGUAAACAGGAUGGAGGUUCCUCAAAAAAUUAAAAACAGAGCUACCACAUGAUCCAGCAAUUCCACUGCUGGGAACAUAUCCAAAGGAAAUGAAAACACUGUCUCAAAGAGAGAUCUGCACUGCCUGUUCAUAGCAGCAUUAUUCACAAGAUAUGGAAACAACCUAAGUGUCCAAUCAACAAAGAAAAUGUUACAUCCUGGAGUUCCCUCGUGGCUCAGCGGUUAACGAACCCUAUUAGGAUCCAUGAGGAUGUGGGUUCGAUCCCUGGUCUUGCUCAGUGGGUUAAGAAUCCGGCAUUGCCGUGAGUUAUGAUGCGGCUCGGAUCCUGCGCUGCUUUGGCUGUGGUGUAGGCUGGCAGCUAUAGCUCUGAUUCAAACCCUGGCCUGGGAACUUCCAUAUACCACGGAUGCAGCC